CUAGGUCAGGACCCUCACUGCUAGGUUCUGCAUCAAGGUAGUUCUCAGUGUGGGUCCCUUUUGGGGCCUUAGCAGAAUGCAAGGAAGCCCAGCCUGGAGUUCAAACCUCUUCCAAUUCAUUUACAGGUAGCACCUUUUCCCCAACAGCUAGGCCUUAUGGGAAAAGAAUGUAAAUGCUUCCUGCCUUGCUGAAACUCCAUCCGCGAGAUGGCAGUAAUGCGCCGAGUAUGUGCACAAGUGACGGUGUCUACUGCUCUACUCCCGCCCUUCUUGUCUGAAAAAAAGGUCACAGGCGUGGCUCCAGCUAGUAAUGGUCAUGGCAGAGGCUUGAAGAAUGUUGGAUUGUAGACCAGUAUCCCCCUUUUGCCUUCCCCUCCCAAGGACAUUUUAAAGAUGCUUACUUCAUCUCACUAUGACUGACCUGACAAAUGCUCUUUCGAAUUUCUUCAAGAUCCAAAGUGAAAUAUAAAGCACUAAGCACUAGAAACUGUAUAUUAAUAUGAAUAUAUGGCCAUGAUGAAUACAGUGCAGCGAGGGCUUGUGUAAAGUGAUACAUGCAUACAUUUAUAUCUAAGAGAAAUGAGCAUGUGUGGUGUACAUAGGUACAACUUUGUAAAAACGUGAUUUUUCUGCAUACACAAAGUUCUAAAAUCUGUAUGUUUGUGAUCUUGGUCAGUGUUAGAGGCUGUAUUUGUAUACAUUUUUUUGUAUAUAUGUAAACAAAUAUUAAUAAAAAACUGCAGCUGCAUUUGAGUGGUAUGAAUACAUUUUCCUUUAACUAUUCUCCAGGAGCACAUUACAGUGCCUGAAUAUGAAAUAUGCCAAAUAGGGAUAAUUCUAUUGAAAGUUCACUUUCAUUUACUGUGGCUUUUAAGUUUCAGGAGGAUCACCUGAUGUUGAAGGCCAUUUUGGGCUGCAUAGUUAAGUCAAAGCCAGCCUAGAGUACAUAAAGAGAAUCUUGCUAGGUAAAACAACAAAAACAAAACAAACGAACAAAAAACCAAAUUGGAAUUUAUGGUAAAAGUUUUUUCCUGCUUCUGCAAUACUGGAGCUUAAAUUUAGGGCAUUUCCACUAUGUCAUAUCCACAGGAAUUUUUUUUCUCUCUCUCUUUUAUUUAUUUAUUUAUUUUUUGAGCCAGGG
rnacentral:lncRNA from 1 species